UUGUAUUAUAUAAGCACCAUGUUUGCAUAUGUAUAUCACCCUAUAACAUCCUUGAGUGCUUAAAAACGACACCAUGACAAAGUGCUCUGCCUUGAUAUUUUUGUUGGUCCUUUUGAUUUGUAUUACUGGAAAACCAGUUGAAGCAAGAGGACCCUUUGAAUGCCCUCGCAUGGUCAACUGUGCAAGUGUCUGCUCAGGAUAUCCCAGUUGUUGUGUAAAGGGUUUUUGCAUUUGUAAACCUUGUUCUCCUUCUUUGAAUGAUGUAUCGAUCAUUCAACCCAAUUCUCAAUUAAACUAGAAUGGUCCUUAUCUAUUUUAUAAUAUUGGUCCUAUAGUUUAUAAUAAUUCAUGCAAUAAAAUCACUUUGACCUGA